rnacentral:rRNA from 1 species
ACUCCUACGGGAGGCAGCAGUGGGGUAUUUUGCGCAAUGGGAGAAAGCCUGACAGCAGCAACGCCGCGUGAGUGAUGAAGGCCUUCGGGUCGUAAAAGUCUGUCAGGAGGGAAGAAAUGACGGGGGCUAAUAUCCCGUCCGCUUGACGGUACCUGCGAAGGAAGCCCCGGCUACAUCCGUGCCAGCAGCCGCGGUAAUA